rnacentral:rRNA from 1 species
AUGAAGCUGGCUUUGAAGAUUCUGGCGACUGUUGAGGAUGAUGAUGAUGAUGAUGAUGGUGCAGAUAUCAUUAUUGUCUUGUCUCCAAGAAAGAAAGUAGCCCCAGGAAACAUGUCUGAAGCACCCCUGAUCGAUCAAUCAAUGAGAAUAAACUGGCACGGUGGCCUCGUCUGCAACGGAUCCGAAACCGUAGGGAAGAGGAAGAGAAGAAAUGACGAAAGCGGAGGGCAUUUUCCGCGAGGGGAUAAAUGUGGCGAAUUUGUAGGGAAGGGAGGGUUGCAAGUGGAUGAGGAAGCAGUGUAG